GAUGAACGCUAGCGGCAGGCCUAAUACAUGCAAGUCGAACGGUGUAGCAAUACACAGUGGCGCACGGGUGCGUAACACGUAUGCAACCUACCUUACAUUGUGGGAUAGCCUUUCGAAAGGGAGAUUAAUACCGCAUAAGACAGUAACUAGGCAUCUAGUAGCUGUUAAAGAUUUAUCGAUGUAAGCUGGGCAUGCGUCCAAUUAGUUAGUUGGCGAGGUAAUGGCUCACCAAGACGAUGAUUGGUAGGGGAACUGAGAGGUCAAUCCCCCACACCGGCACUGAGAUACGGGCCAGACUCCUACGGGAGGCAGCAGUAGGGAAUAUUGGGCAAUGGGCGCAAGCCUGACCCAGCCAUGCCGCGUGCAGGAAGAAGGCGUUAUGCGUUGUAAACUGCUUUUAUACAGGAGGAAACGACCCUUGCGAGGGGCAUUGACGGUACUGUAUGAAUAAGCACCGGCUAACUCCGUGCCAGCAGCCGCCGUAAAAC
rnacentral:rRNA from 1 species